rnacentral:rRNA from 1 species
UACGAAGGGGGCUAGCGUUGCUCGGAUUGACUGGGCGUAAAGGGCGCGUAGGCGGCUUGUACAGUCAGACGUGAAAUUCCUGGGCUCAACCUGGGGGCUGCGUUUGAUACGUACGGGCUUGAGUUCGGAAGAGGGUCGUGGAAUUCCCAGUGUAGAGGUGAAAUUCGUAGAUAUUGGGAAGAACACCGGUGGCGAAGGCGGCGACCUGGUCCGAUACUGACGCUGAGGCGCGAAAGCGUGGGGAGCAAACAGG